rnacentral:rRNA from 1 species
AGCGAACGCUGGCGGCAGGCCUAACACAUGCAAGUCGAACGAAGCCUUCGGGCUUAGUGGCGGACGGGUGAGUAACACGUGGGAACGUACCUUUUGGUUCGGAAUAACGCAGAGAAAUUUGCGCUAAUACCGGAUGAGCCCUUCGGGGGAAAGAUUUAUCGCCGAAAGAUCGGCCCGCGUUGGAUUAGGUAGUUGGUGUAGUAAAGGCGCACCAAGCCUACGAUCCAUAGCUGGUCUGAGAGGAUGAUCAGCCACACUGGGACUGGGACACGGCCCAGACUCCUACGGGAGGCAGCAGUGGGGAAUCUUGCGCAAUGGGCGAAAGCCUGACGCAGCCAUGCCGCGUGAAUGAUGAAGGUCUUAGGAUUGUAAAAUUCUUUUACCAGGGACGAUAAUGACGGUACCUGGAGAAAAAGCCCCGGCUAACUUCGUGCCAGCCGCCGCAGUAACAC